AUUGAACGCUGGCGGCAGGCCUAACACAUGCAAGUCGAGCGGUAACAUUUCAAAAGCUUGCUUUUGAAGAUGACGAGCGGCGGACGGGUGAGUAACACGUGGGUAACCUGCCUCAGAGUGGGGGAUAGCCUUUCGAAAGGAAGAUUAAUACCGCAUAAGCUUGUAGCAUCGCAUGGUGCAGCAAGAAAAGGAGCAAUCCGCUCUGAGAUGGACCCCGCGGCGCAUUAGCUAGUUGGUGAGGUAACGGCUCACCAAGGCCACGAUGCGUAGCCGACC
rnacentral:rRNA from 1 species